rnacentral:rRNA from 1 species
AGGGCACCACCAGGAGUGGAGCCUGCGGCUUAAUUUGACUCAACACGGGAAAUCUCACCAGGCCCGGACACCGGAAGGAUUGACAGAUUGAGAGCUCUUUCUUGAUUCGGUGGGUGGCGGUGCAUGGCCGUUCUUAGUUGGUGGAGCGAUUUGUCUGGUUAAUUCCGAUAACGAACGAGACUCUGGCCUACUAACUAGACGUUAGAUCCCUUUGUGGGUCUAUCGCAGCUUCUUAGAGGGACGGGCGGCGUUUAGCCGCACGAGAUUGAGCAAUAACAGGUCUGUGAUGCCCUUAGAUGUUCUGGGCUGCACGCGCGCUACACUGAAGGAAUCAGCGUGUGUUCCCUACCCGAAAGGGUUGGGAAACCCGUUGAACCUCCUUCGUGAUGGGGAUUGGGGAUUGCAAUUAUUCCCCAUGAACGAGGAAUUCCCAGUAGGCGCGAGUCAUAAGCUUGCGUCGAUUACGUCCCUGCCCUUUGUACACACCGCCCGUCGCUACUACCGAUCGAGUGAUUUAGU